ACGACACCAAAACUAGAAACCCACUCUAGUCACUUCAGAUCCCCAGAGACCAACAUAGUACUCACAGUACUCAUUAAUAUUUGCUUAAUGGCAGAGAAUACUCCCUUUCUUCAUUAAUCAAUCAGAGGCUCUUUAUCGACCAUUUCCUGUAGGCUAGCUCUGAACACAUCCUGGGAGGACUGCAAAGUACAGCUAUGCUUCUGUGAGAGAAAGUAAGUGUGUGUGUGUGUGUGUGUGUGUGUGUGUGUGUGUCCAUGUAUUGAGGGGGGUUACAUUCCAGAGCUUUGUGUCAUUGGCAGAAAUUACCACAUGGGAGGCAAAAAUAGUACAGGUGGCCAGGUGGCUUAGGGAUGUUUUUCAAGCCUGGAUUCUCACCCCUCCCUGAGUGGGCCACUCCCUCUUUCUACAGAGCAAAGCACCACAGAUUGCCUUCCCUUUGACCAGGGCAGAAAUCACCCCUAUCUCCUCAGGGCUUCUGGAGGUUUUCUUAUCUUUCCUGACCAGUUUAUGAGCAUCUAGAAGGAGAGGCUAAAAGGCAGGAGAACAAGACUGUAGAAAAAUUACACCUGCCUCAACACUGCAGCCAGGUCAGCUUUUUAGAACCUAAGUUAAAGUGGGGUACAGAGGACACGUAGCUCAGUGUCUGGAAAGAGGAGUUCAGCAGCCUCCUCAGCUACACAGAGAGUCGAAAGCCAACCUGGAAAAACCCUGUCUGUCUCAAAACAACUAAACUGCAUCUACUAAGAACACUGUUAAUAGCGUUCUUUCGACCUACCUUUGUUUAUCUGGUUUGGUUGGUUUGGUUUUGGUUUUUUACAGAGUUUUUCUGUGUAGACCUGGGUGUCCUGGAACUUUCUGUGUACACCUUUUGAGUGAUCACUAAGUACCAAGUGCUGUACUCAGUAAUUUAUAUGCAUUCUUUUUGCCAGGUAUCUCUAAAUAGUUUCUUAAUGUGUGUGUACAUUUUUGUGUGUAUUCACUUGGAUGCCUAUGAAGGGCAAAAGACAAAAACCUCAGGGGUCAUCCUCAGGAUGUUAUUUCCCUCCUUUGGAGACGGGUUUUGUCAUUUGCCUGCAGCUCUCCCCAUCUCGGGCGUGGCUGGCUGGCCAGCAAGCUCCAAGUAAGCAUCCACUUGCCUCUGCUUCCCUGGCACUGUGUCUGAAGCAUAGACUUGAGUAGUAAGUGGCCCUACCUUCUUUACAGGAAAUAGAGACCCAGAGAGAUGCUUAAGGUCCUCAGCUUGUAUAAGAUAAAACCUAGAUUUGAACCUAGAGAGGUCUGCUCCAAAGCCCGGUUCUCUCUGUUGCUCUUCCCAGUGUAUUUGAGAAUGUGCAGAAGGAGGGUUGGGGAAGCAUCUUGGAAUCUGAGGGAUACCCACUGACCUGCCAGCUGAGAAAGUUUGUCUGCAAGGGGAUGCUCCAGGGCUUAGGGUUAUUGUAGGAUUUGCCACAGGCAUGUUUGAACUUAGCCAUUCAGCAUCCUCUAAUUUCCUGCUUUUACCCUCUCAGCUGCUAGUCAGGAGGUUUGUGAAGGUGACAUCAUCCAGCUGAAUCAGCUGUUGCUGUAGACUUACGGGAACUGAAAAUCAUUGCCCCUUCCUGCUUUGCAAGUCUCUCCAGAAUGAAGUUAGAGCAUGGGAGUCUUCCACCUGUCUACAGGGUCAUGGCUAAAACUCACAAUGUUCACUGUUUUAAGAGCUAAAAAGGUAGACCAGGUGCACUCACCUAUAUCUCAAUGCAUGACACGCAGAGGUAGGUAGAUCUCCCUGAGUUCCAGGCCAGCCUUGACUACAUAACAAGUUUCAAAACAGCCAGAGUGGCAUAGUGAAGCCGUGCAUACUUAUUUUAUUUUAUGUAUUUUUCAGACAGGGUUCUAUAUAUUACCCUGGUUGUCCUAGAACUCUCUAUGUAUAUGUAGACCAGGCUGGCCUCAAACUCACAGAGAUCCACUUGUCUCUGCUUUCCAAGUGCCUGGUGAGACCCUGUUUAUAAAAUCAAAUAGAGCAGAAAGCCAAAGGAUGCACUUCUUCCUCCCUCCUCCCGUUCUCCACAGUCUCAUUCUGUAGCCCUGGGUGGGUCAAACUCAUAGCCUUCUUGGCGGGAUUCUAGGUCUGUGCCACCAUGUGAGGCUUAAAAGGUUAAUUUGGGGUUGUUUUGUUUUGUUUUUGAGGGACUGGCAUCUCAAGAACGUUUUCUUUUCUGCCUUCAUUUAACCCUGUAACUCUUGAUCCUUUUGUGUCUUUUUGCCUAAGUUCUAAGCUAAGGCCAGCGCUGUAGAUGGGCCAACAAAAUGUAUUUGUGGAUUUUGAUUUUAAAUUUAAGCCUCUUAGAGUCUGAUUAGGAGAAUUCAAACAAACAAACUUGUAUACUUCAGAGUAGAGCAGUGCCACAAUGUAAUCUGGUGGAGCUCUGCCUAUGACCAGAAAAAAAAAAAGUUAUGUAUAUUUUUUCAAAAGGAAAGAAGUGGGAAGCUAGAGAGAUGCUUCAGAAGUUGAAGAGUGCUUCUUGUUCUUGCAGAGGACCCCAGUUCACUCCCCAGCACCUCCUGUAACUCCAGUUCCAGAAGGUUCUACACCCUCUUCUGACCACCACAGACACAUACAUAUAACUUAAAGUUUUAAAAAUUAUUGUUGUUAUUAUUAUUACUACUAUCACCAUCAUGAUUAUUUUGGUGGCUCCUACCUGUAAUUUCAGCACCUAGAAGUCUGGGGAAGGAAGAUUGUUGUAGAGAGAAUCUAUUGGGAACUGUAUGGAAGCAUUACCUGUCAGUAAAAAAUCGCCUGUGACCAAUGAGCUGAGGCAGGAAAUAGGAGGUGGGAGUACCAGCAGAGAGAAAGAAGAAUUCUGGGAAAGAGUCAGGGAUGAGUAAACUGAGAAGAAGGUAACCAGUCAUUUGGCCCUCAGAAUAGAAUAAGUGGGGAGAUUCUCCCCAAAUACUGAUGGAGAUAGACGGUCAUAUGAAGCUGAGGAGAGGUAACCAGCCACAUGGUGGGACGUAGAUUAGAAUGAAUGGAUAAGUAAGUUACAACUCAGCCAGGGAACAAGCCUAAGCUAUUGGCCUAAGCGUUUCUUCAUGAAAUAGCAAGUCUCAGAAUCAUUAUUUUGAGGAACUUGUACACAGUGGAAAAGCCCUCCAUUACAGAUUGCCACAAGUUUGAGAUUAGGCUGGGCUACCUGGUGAAUUGAAUUCCAGGGUAGCCUUAGCUGCAUAUUAAGACUAUCAAAAGCAAAACAAGUGAGGAACGAGUUAGUUGUGACAGUAAGACAUCAUACAAACUUGCCUGUGACUUUGCCUCUCUCAGUCAGUGGCAUAUCACAUGAGCUAUCACAUUUAGAGGUAGGCUCAGUAAACAGACAGAUAGUCCUGGCACUAGAGAGGCCCAGGCAGGAAGAUUACAUGACCCAUGAGUUUGGAGUAAUGCACCCAGCACCUACGGAGCACUCAGUGGGUGGUAGCCCCUUUGAUACUUUCUUGACAGGGAACAGGCCAUUGGAUAAGCCUGGGUGAGGCUUUUAGGGAUAGGUUGGCUUGGAACUGGACUUUGAAGCCCGGUUAGGAUGUUGAUAGGUGUAGCCUGUCAGAUAGAUAUAGAGCACCGCUGGAGGCUGGCUAUUUGCUGUAUAACUUUUUUUUUUUUUUUAAGAUUUAUUUAUUUUUAUUAUAUGUAAUUACACUGUAGCUGUCUUCAGACACUCCAGAAGAGGGAGUCAGAUCUCAUUACGGAUGGUUGUGAGCCACCAUGUGGUUGCUGGGAUUUGAACUUCGGACCUUCGGAAGAGCAGUCGGGUGCUCUUACCCACUGAGCCAUCUCACCAGCCCCAACUUUUUUUUUUUAGUUAGCACACAACACUAGGUAUCGUUACGGCAUCUCAAACAAUGGGUUAUAGUAGAUUCUCCUUCCCUUGUCUAACCUUCCUCCCCAGUUGCUUCUUUUUUCACGUCUCAUGUGUUCUUUUGCCCACCACUGUUCUUCCUUACCACCUAUAUUAUCUCCGCUUGAUCUCCAUCCUAGUUAUUUUGGCUUUACCCACAUUUACACUCACUUACACACACAUACACACUUGCACAUUACAGCCUAGGAUCCAUUUAUCAGAGUGUAAUUCUUUUAUCUUCCUGAGAUUGUGUCAUAUUUUGUUUUUAUUCAUAUUUUCAAUAUUUUAUUUAACAUAAUUUCUAGAUUCAUCCAUUUUUUGCAAAGCUCAUAAUUUCAGUUUUUUUUAUGACUGAAUAAAAUUCCAUUCUGCACACACAUACAUACAGAUGUAUGAGGGGGAGUAUGGCAUCUGGAAGAUUUCAGACUAAACUGGACAAUGAGAGGGGCAUGGAAGCAAGAAGAA
rnacentral:lncRNA from 1 species